CUCUCUUAAAGCGGCCGCGCGGGCCCAAACCCUGCUGGCUGGAUUCCAACCGUAGUAGGGAUUGCUUCUAGACAGAAGGUCCCCCAGCGACGAACUAGGCCAGUGUACUCGGAUUCACAGAGCCCCAGGUCUGCCCUUGGCUUGCAUAUCGACCCAUCUGGGCCUGGACGCUUCGGAAUAGCCCAUUUCACGUUUCAUUUGAUCAUUGGCGAGGCCAGGUCUCCACAGCCCGCAGCGACUGGAGAGCAACUUCUGGAAAAGAGCCUCUGGCUCUUGGAAGUGGUUAGGACCUGAGAGGGCAGAGGCCAGGGAGGAAGGGAGAAGAGAAAGGAAAGGGAAAAGGGAAGAGGAGCAGAGAACCGAAGGGCUAGAAGGUAGAAGGAGAAGAAACCAACCGAGAAAGGACACUAAUGACAGCACCCUGUCAACAAACGGGUUCAGCACAGGAGGGAGCCACAAGUGAACCCCACCACAGCUGGACCAACCAACUUCCUCAGAGAACAGAAGUCAUUGCUACUCAUGCCCCGUGUCUCACACCAUGAACCGCUGAGGAAUUAAAGCUUGGUCAUCUGGAGACAAAGCCAUUGUCCUUAAUCGGGAACAGAGCCCCAUUUGAUGUCGUAGAAAAGGCAUAGAUCUUCUUUGGGGGUAAUAAUAAUAAUACCUAACAUUUCUAGGA